CAGUCGCCGCGGGAAUACGUAGGGUGCAAGCGUUAAUCGGAAUUACUGGGCGUAAAGCGUGCGCAGGCGGUUUGUUAAGACAGAUGUGAAAUCCCCGGGCUCAACCUGGGAACUGCAUUUGUGACUGGCAGGCUAGAGUAUGGCAGAGGGUGGUGGAAUUCCGCGUGUAGCAGUGAAAUGCAUAGAUAUGCGGAGGAACACCGAUGGCGAAGGCAGCCCCCUGGGCCAAUACUGACGCUCAUGCACGAAAGCGUGGGGAGCAAACAGGAUUAGAUACCCGGGUAGUCCCUGUCUCUUAUAC
rnacentral:rRNA from 1 species